rnacentral:rRNA from 1 species
UAUCAACGCUGGCGGCGUGCCUAACACAUGCAAGUCGAACGAGAAAGUGGGGGCAACCCUGCGAGUACAGUGGCAGACGGGUGAGUAACACGUGAACAACCUACCCUUGAGUGGGGAAUAACACCGCGAAAGCGGUGCUAAUACCGCAUAAAAUCUUGAGGUCGCAUGGCUUUAAGAUCAAAAGCGCAAGUUGCUUGAGGAGGGGUUCGCGGCUGAUUAGCUAGUUGGUGAGGUAACGGCCCACCAAGGCAACGAUCAGUAGCCGGCCUGCGAGGGUGAACGGCCACACUGGAACUGAGACACGGUCCAGACUCCUACGGGAGGCAGCAGUGGGGAAUUUUGCGCAAUGGGCGAAAGCCUGACGCAGCAACGCCGCGUGGAGGAUGAAGGCCUUCGGGUCGUAAACUCCUGUCGAUGGGGACGAAAGCCUGCAAAGGUUUGACUGUACCCGUUGAGGAAGCCACGGCUAACUCCGUGCCAGCCGCCGCGGUAAAAC